GUCAAGGUAUAGUAUAUCUGACUAUGAUAAAUAACAUUUGGGAUGUUUGAGUUUACACGGGUACAUCUGAGUCAAGGUAUGGAAUAUCUGACUAUAAAUAAAAACAUUUCGGAUGUUUGAAUUUACACUGGUACAUUAGUCAAGUUACGGUAUUUCUGAGUAUGGUAACUAACAUUUAGGAUAUUUGAAUCACAUGGGUACAUUAGUCAAGGUAUGGUAUUCCUGACUAUGAUAAAUAGCAUUUAGGAUGUUUGAAUUUACACGGGUACAUAUUAAGUCAAGGUGUGGUAUAUCUGACUAUGAAAAAUAACACUCAGGAUGUUUGAAUUUAAACGGAUACAUUAUUCAAGGUAUGGCAUAUUUGACUAUGAUAAAUAACAUUUUGAUGAUUGAAUUUACAAGGGUACAUUAGUCAAGGUAUGAUAUUUCUGACUAUGAUGAAUAACAUUAAGGAUGUUUGAGUUUACACGGUCGGGUACAUCAGUCAACGUAUGGUAUUGCUGACUAUGAUAAAUAACAUUUAGUACAAUUAAGUUAAAUGUACACGGGUAUUGGUGUUUUAUCAGUACCAAUAUGGUUUCAUGAGUUAAAUCUGAUGCAACGACCAAGAAAUUCAAAGGAGGAUUCUGUUGAAUCAAA